AGUAGUCAUAUGCUUGUCUCAAAGAUUAAGCCAUGCAUGUCUAAGUACAAGCCUCACUAAGGUGAAACCGCGAAUGGCUCAUUAAAUCACACCUAAUCUACUGGAUAGUAGACAGUUACUUGGAUACCUGCGGUAAUUCUGCAGCUAAUACAUGCUAUUAAGCCUCGACUCACGAAGAGGCGCUUUUAUUAGAUCAAAACCGAUCGGCUUCGGCCGUACCUUUGGUGAUUCUGAAUAACUUUGAGCUGAUCGCAUGGCCUCGCGCCGGCGACAUAUCCUUCGAAGGUGUGCCCUAUCAUCUGUCGACUGUGGCAUAGACGCCCACAGUGGAUUUGACGGGUAACGGAGAAUCAGGGUUCGAUUCCGGAGAGGGAGCCUUAAAAACGGCUACCACAUCCAAGGAAGGCAGCAGGCACGCAAAUUACCCAAUGACCGAAGGUCGAGGUAGUGACGAAAAAUAACGAUACGGGACUCAUCCGAGGCCCCGUAAUCGGAAUGAGUACAGUUUAAAAUAUUCCCCGAGGAUCUAUUGGAGGGC
rnacentral:rRNA from 1 species